rnacentral:rRNA from 1 species
UGGGGAAUAUUGGACAAUGGGCGCAAGCCUGAUCCAGCCAUGCCGCGUGAGUGACGAAGGUCUUCGGAUUGUAAAACUCUUUUGGCGGGGACGAUAAUGACGGUACCCGCAGAAUAAGCCCCGGCUAACUUCGUGCCAGCAGCCGCGGUAAUACGAAGGGGGCUAGCGUUGUUCGGAAUCACUGGGCGUAAAGCGCACGUAGGCGGAUGUGCCAGUCAGGGGUGAAAUCCCGGAGCUCAACUCCGGAACUGCCUCUGAUACUGCACGUCUUGAGUUCGAGAGAGGUGGGUGGAAUUCCUAGUGUAGAGGUGAAAUUCGUAGAUAUUAGGAAGAACACCAGUGGCGAAGGCGGCUCACUGGUCCGGUACUGACGCUGAGGUGCGAAAGCGUGGGGAGCAAACAGGAUUAGAUACCCACGUAGUCCCUGAGCGGGCUGGCAAGGCGCAU